CCUUGUUGAAUAAACGUCUUGAUAAGAGUCUCUUGUCGAGUAGUGUCGUCGAGAUGAUCUUAACUCCGUCUCUUGACUCGAUGAAAUUUGCUUUCGUUGGGCUCUUUUCUCUACUCGAUCCAAUCGAUCAUGCAAUUUAUCAAAUUUUGAUUUCACCAUUCUACGCACUUCUUGCAUCAAAUAUUGGAAUUCUGAUUCGGAAAAUUCUUCUUGAUACAUUUUUUUUGCUAAAAGAGAAAAAAAUGAUUAAAAUACAAUAGAAAAUAAAUACCUCACCACAAAAAAAAAUCUCACGUUUCACUCACAAAGAAAAUUCACACAAUUUGGCUUUUACUUCUCCCGAAUGGUCUCACCAAUCACUCUUGCCUUUUUUUCCACUCGAUUUUCGCCUCUCAAAGUUCUUCGCAAACUAAAUCGACGAAUCAAUACCGUUUGGCGUCGGCUUACAAAAUUGAUUUGGCUUGGUGGGUAAUGAUGUCGGAAAUGGUAGGCUAUAAAACAAAAUAGGAAUGGUUAAGUGUGGCUAUAUAGAUAUGGUC
rnacentral:lncRNA from 1 species